rnacentral:tRNA from 1 species
UAGCUCAGUCAGUAGAGCAUAGCACUAACAAUGCUAAGGUCGUGGGUUCGAUUCCCGU